rnacentral:rRNA from 1 species
AGCAGCCGCGGUAAUUCCAGCUCCAAUAGCGUAUAUUAAAGUUGUUGCAGUUAAAAAGCUCGUAGUUGAAUUUCGGGAUCAAAGGAUCGGUCAUGCCUUGGUAUGUACUGGUUUUAUUGGUUCUCACCUUCUAAAGAACCAUAAUGUCAUUCAUUUGAUGUUAUGGGGAAUUAGGGACUGUUACCUUGAAAAAAUUAGAGUGUUUAAAGCAGGCUUACGCUUGAAUACAUUAGCAUGGAAUAAUGAAAUAGGACAUCAGAUUCUAUUUUGUUGGUUUCUAGGAUCGAUGUAAUGAUUAAUAGGGAUAGUUGGGGGCAUUAGUAUUCAAUUGUCAGAGGUGAAAUUCUUGGAUUUAUUGAAGACUAACUACUGCGAAAGCAUUUGCCAAGGAUGUUUUCAUUAAUCAAGAACGAAAGUUAGGGGAUCGAAGACGAUCAGAUACCGUCGUAGUCUUAACCAUAAACUAUGCCGACUAGGGAUCGGAUGAUGUUAAUUUUAUAAUGACUCAUUCGG